rnacentral:lncRNA from 1 species
UUUUUUUAACCUAAAGCUGGUGGUGUUUAGCCAAAAGGGGCCAGUUUUUAACCAAAAGGAGGCAAAUUUUUAACUUAAAAAGGCGUUUUUUUUUUUAACCUAAAACUGGUGGUUUUUAGCCAAAAGGGGCCAGUUUUUAGCCAAAAGAGGCCGUUUUUUAGCCAAAAGGGGCGUAUUUUUAACCUAAAGGUGGAGUUUAUUUACCUAAAAGGGGCAUUUUUUAAUCUAAAGGGGCUGUGUUUUUUGUUUUUUUUUGUUUUUUUAACCUAAAGGAUCUUUUUUUUUUUUAGCCCAAAGGGGGGAGUUUUUAAGCAAAAGGGGGUCGUGUUUUUUUAACCUAAAGUGGGGGCGUUUUUAACCUAAAGCAGGUGGUUUUUAACCUAAAAGGGCUUUAACAAAAUGCACGUUUGGGGAGGGGCACCCUGUGCGAGGCGUGCUGUCCCUGACCCCCCCCCUUCUGUCCCUGACCCCCCCCUUCUGUCCCUGACCCCCCCCUUCUGUCCCUGACCCCCCCCUUCUGUCCCUGACCCCAUCUCUGUCCUGCAGAGCCUCUCGCCCCAGGAGCGGGCUGCCUACAAGGAGCACACCUCCAACGUGAGUCCUGGGGGGGGGUUCGGGGUGGGUUUGGGGGGGGCACAGCCACGUCCUGACCCCCCCUUGGGGCCGUGCGGGAGGUGCGCCGGGCUUGGGGAGCCCCCACGAGGGGCCGGGGGUGGGGUUUUCUCCGUGCUGGGGGGGCGCUGGGUUCACGCCCCGCUGCUCAAAAGGAUUUUCCUUGUCCCCCCCCCGGCAGAAACGCAAGAGCAUAGGGAAGAUCCGAGGCCCCAACCCCAAGAUGAAGCCCACCAUGCAGUCCAAGUCGGAGUCAGAGGACGACGAUGACGAGGAAGAGGAGGAGGAGGAUGAUGAUGAAGAUGAAGACGACGACGAUGACAACGGGGACUCGUCGGAGGAAGGCGGCGACUCCUCGGAGUCCAGCAGCGAGGAGGAGAGUGAGGACGGGGACGAGGUGAGGCUGCGGGGGGGGGGGGGACACACAGUUUUUUGGGGGGUCACGCUCGCUCGGCCCCCUCCCCUUCUGCGGGGACAGGGCUGCGGGGUGGGCGUCGGGGCGGGCAAAAAAAUGAAAUUAUAAAAUAAGGAAAAAUGAAAUGAAAUACGGAAAAUUGAAAUAAAAUAAGGAAAAAAUGAAAUAAGAAAAAAAUGAAAUGAAAUAAGGAAAAAAUGAAAUAAAAAAGGAAAAAUGAAAUAAAAAAGGAAAAAUGAAAUAAAAAAGGAAAAAUGAAAUAAAUAAUGAAAAAAAUAAAUAAAAAAAAGGAAAAAUGAAGUAAUGAAAAACUGAAAUAAAAAAAGGAAAAACUGAAAUAAAAAAAAGGAAAAAUGAAAUCCAAUCGCGGGGGGGGACCGGG